rnacentral:rRNA from 1 species
CCUACGGGAGGCAGCAGUGGGGAAUAUUGCACAAUGGGCGCAAGCCUGAUUCAGCCAUGCCGCGUGUAUGAAGAAGGCCUUCGGGUUGUAAAGUACUUUCAGUCGUGAGGAAGGUGUUAAGGUUAAUAACCUUAGCAAUUGACGUUAGCGACAGAAGAAGCACCGGCUAACUCCGUGCCAGCAGCCGCGGUAAUACGGAGGGUGCGAGCGUUAAUCGGAAUUACUGGGCGUAACGGGCAAGCAGGCGGGUAAGUAAGUGUGGUGUGAAAUCCCCGGGCUUAAACUGGGAAUGGCAUUCAAGAAUGGUUAGCUAGAGUCGUGUAGAGGGGGGUAGAAUUCCAUGUGUAGCGGUGAUAUGCGUAGAGAUGUGGAGGAAUACCGGUGGCGAAGGCGGCCCCCUGGACAAAGACUGACGCUAAUGGGCGAAAGCGUGGGGAGCAAACAGGAUUAGAUACCCCAGUAGUC